GACGAACGCUGGCGGCGUGCUUAACACAUGCAAGUCGAACGGAAAGGCCCUGCUUUUGUGGGGUGCUCGAGUGGCGAACGGGUGAGUAACACGUGAGUAACCUGCCCUGGACUUUGGGAUAACUUCAGGAAACUGGGGCUAAUACCGGAUAGGAGCUCCUGCUGCAUGGUGGGGGGUGGAAAGUUUCGGCGGUUGGGGAUGGACUCGCGGCUUAUCAGCUUGUUGGUGGGGUAGUGGCUUACCAAGGCUUUGACGGGUAGCCGGCCUGAGAGGGUGACCGGCCACAUUGGGCCUGAGGUACGGCCCAGACUCCUACGGGAGGCAGCCGUGGGGAAUAUUGCACAAUGGGCGGAAGCCUGAUGCAGCAACGCCGCGUGCGGGAUGACGGCCUUCGGGUUGUAAACCGCUUUCUCCUGUGACGAAGCGUGAGUGACGGUAAUGGGUAAAGAAGCACCGGCUAACUACGUG
rnacentral:rRNA from 1 species